rnacentral:misc_RNA from 1 species
AGGUGUGGGAUUGGUUCAUGGUCGCUGUCGGCUUACCGUCGACUCGGCUGAAAUACAUGAGUGACCACAUUAUUUUAAUGACGGCUUGACUCGGCGUAAUAAUAUUCUCGCUGAGGACGACAUUAAAUUAAGCAGGCGCUUCUACUAUCACAAUCUAAGCUUUAGACCUCAAAUCAGUCAGGACUACCCGCUGAACUUAA